rnacentral:miRNA from 7 species
CGUCAACACUUGCUGGUUUCCU